rnacentral:rRNA from 1 species
AGAACUUUCCAGAGAUGGAUUGGUGCCUUCGGGAACUCUGAGACAGGUGCUGCAUGGCUGUCGUCAGCUCGUGUUGUGAAAUGUUGGGUUAAGUCCCGCAACGAGCGCAACCCUUAUCCUUUGUUGCCAGCGGUCCGGCCGGGAACUCAAAGGAGACUGCCAGUGAUAAACUGGAGGAAGGUGGGGAUGACGUCAAGUCAUCAUGGCCCUUACGAGUAGGGCUACACACGUGCUACAAUGGCGCAUACAAAGAGAAGCGACCUCGCGAGAGCAAGCGGACCUCAUAAAGUGCGUCGUAGUCCGGAUUGGAGUCUGCAACUCGACUCCAUGGAGUCGGAAUCGCUAGUAAUCGUGGAUCAGAAUGCCACGGUGAAUACGUUCCCGGGCCUUGUACACACCGCCCGUCACACCAUGGGAGUGGGUUGCAAAAGAAGUAGGUAGCUUAACCUUCGGGAGGGCGCUUACCACUUUGUGAUUCAUGACUGGGGUGAAGUCGUAACAAGGUAGGCGUAGAUGA